GUGGCGAACGGGUGAGUAACACGUGAGUAACCUGCCCUUGACUCUGGGAUAAGCCUGGGAAACUGGGUCUAAUACUGGAUACGACCUUCCAUCGCAUGGUGGUUGGUGGAAAGCUUUUGUGGUUUUGGAUGGACUCGCGGCCUAUCAGCUUGUUGGUGGGGUAAUGGCCUACCAAGGCGACGACGGGUAGCCGGCCUGAGAGGGUGGACGGCCACACUGGGACUGAGACACGGCCCAGACUCCUACGGGAGGCAGCAGUGGGGAAUAUUGCACAAUGGGCGCAAGCCUGAUGCAGCGACGCCGCGUGAGGGAUGAAGGCCUUCGGGUUGUAAACCUCUUUCAGUAGGGAAGAAGCGAAAGUGACGGUACCUGCAGAAGAAGCGCCGGCUAACUACGUGCCAGCAGCCGCGGUAAUACGUAGGGCGCAAGCGUUAUCCGGAAUUAUUGGGCGUAAAGAGCUCGUAGGCGGUUUGUCGCGUCUGCCGUGAAAGUCCGGGGCUUAACCCCGGAUCUGCGGUGGGUACGGGCAGACUUGAGUGAUGUAGGGGAGACUGGAAUUCCUGGUGUAGCGGUGAAAU
rnacentral:rRNA from 1 species